UGGGUAAAUCGCUGCAGGACGCUUGGGUUUCUUGGAGAAGCUUGUGGUUAAAUUAAUCAAGAAAACACACACGUAGAUACACUAGUGCUGGGUACUCCGGACGUGGGUUCAACUCCCACCGCCUCCAUAU
rnacentral:tmRNA from 1 species